rnacentral:lncRNA from 1 species
AGAGGAGGAAGUAGGGCCAGGCACCUCCAUUCCCUGAGGGAUGAUUUCGGGGCAGAAGCUCAUCUCUAGAAGGGUUUGUAACCCAAAAGCAGGGUGGUAAGUUAAGAGCCGCUCACACAUUCAAGGAGUUCACAGGCACAGCGUCUAGUGCACUUCCUCUUGUAAGCAUUAGGGCUUGGAGGUUUGAAACAGACGCUGCUCCGUGGCCCCGUGGGAUGGCCACACGACCCACCUCCUUCACGAGCUCGCUCUGGGCUUUGUCUACUUUUAGGCUGCAGUUCGGGGUGACGUUUUGACUUUUCAGAUCUUAGUAAAGAGUACAAUGAAUUCACAGCUGGGCUGCAGGAGUCUCUAUGCAUGACAACCCCCAGAAGCUGGCUGCAGCAGAGAGGGUGGUGAGUCCUGUGGCCCCCUGGCCAGCACCCGAGCUGCAGGCUUAUCUUCAGCUUGCCCAUCUUAUCUUCCUGCCCUGUCUCCCCACCCACUUCAACCACUUCUGUCCAUCAAAAGCUGAUCUUUCAUCCUACUUCAAGUUAAGCAGCAUCUGGUAAUUUAAAACAGCUUUAACCAUGAAACACAAAGAGGCCUUCUCCUAUGAGAACUAAGUCUUCCUGUGAUAUUCAUUUACGUCAGUUAACCGCCUUUCAAAUUUCCGUUGGAAAGUUAGUAAAUGAGACAAUAAACAUUGAUCUAAAGGUGAAAGAGCCUCACGAAGUGAUAGUUAUUUUUUAUCAUCCAUAAUUAAGUUUUGCCUCUGAUAAAUAUUAAAUAGCAAAUACAUUUUUGAAAAAGACAGGACACAUGGCAAUGAUGCCAGAGCUUUAAGUAAUGGGAGGGAGAGGCCAAUUCUAUAGGAAUAUUAGCAAGAUGGAUACUCAGAAAAGUGAAACGACGUCCAGUUUGUCAGAUUCCUGCCCCGAAGAGCCCUGGGUGUUUGGUCUUGUGGGCUUAGUUCUGAUGUCCACAGCAGUGCUGAGCUCUUGCCGGUGCCCGGGUUUGUUCCCAGCAAUGGGCCAAGCCACAGUGAACCACAAGGUAAAGAUCAGCUAGGAG